UACGAAGGGGGCUAGCGUUGUUCGGAAUUACUGGGCGUAAAGGGCGCGUAGGCUGUGCUGUAAGUCAGGCGUGAAAUCCCCGGGCUCAACCUGGGAAUUGCGUUUGAUACUGCGGCGCUGGAAUGCAGGAGAGGAUGGCGGAAUUCCCAGUGUAGAGGUGAAAUUCGUAGAUAUUCGGAAGAACACCAGUGGCGAAGGCGACUCACUGGACACAUAUUGACGCUGAGGUGCGAAAGCGUGGGGAGCAAACAGG
rnacentral:rRNA from 1 species